rnacentral:rRNA from 1 species
AUGUCAAGUCAAACUUUGCAAAGUUUGAUCAAAUUUAUAUUAAAAAAUAUCGCCUUUCAUAACGAAUUUACCAAUAUUAAACUACAUUUCAUAACUAUAAAUUUGACCGGCAGCAAAGGGAUAGGGUACGCCAUCGUGGAGGAGCUCGCCGGGUUCGGUGCGAGGGUGCAUGCCUGCUCCCGGAACGCGGCGGAGCUGGAGGAGUGCCGACGGCGGUGGGAGGAGAAGGGCCUGCAUGUCACCGCCUCCGCCUGCGACGUCUCUGUGCGCGCCGACAGGGAGAGGCUCAUGGACACCGUCCGGCAGACCUUCGACGGCAAGCUCGACAUACUAGUGAACAACGCGGGGCAGCUGCUGGUGAAGCCCACCGCGGAGUGCACCGCGGAGGAGUACUCCAAGGUGAUGGCUACCAACCUGGAGUCGAGCUUCCAUCUCAGCCAGCUCGCGCGCCCUCUUCUCGUGCGCGCCGGAGGAGGCAGCAUCAUUAACAUGUCCUCCAUUGGAGGCUCCAUCGGCUUCGUUGGCUCCACCGUCUAUGCUAUCACAAAAGGUACGUGCUCACUCCAUUUCAAGAUAAAUCUCAUAUUAGUUUCAGUUUAA